rnacentral:tRNA from 1 species
GUGGGUAUAGCGUAGUUGGUUAACGCGCAAGUUUGUGGCACUUGAGACCAUCGGUUCGAAUCCGAUUAUCCACCCCA